rnacentral:rRNA from 1 species
CAAUAGCGUAUAUUAAAGUUGUUGCAGUUAAAAAGCUCGUAGUUGGAUUUCUGACAAGAGCGACCGGUCCGGACUUUCGGGUCCGAGCACUCGUGUUGUCUCUAGUCAUCCUUAUGGAGAGCGUUUCUGGCAUUAAGUUGUCGGGGUUAGGGAACACAUCGUUUACUGUGAAAAAAUUAGAGUGUUUAAAGCAGGCUUAUGCCGUUGAAUACAUUAGCAUGGAAUAAUAAGAUAGGACUUUGGCGUCUAUUUUGUUGGUUUGCACACCAAGGUAAUGAUUAAUAGGGAUAGUUGGGGGUAUUCGUAUUUAAUUGUCAGAGGUGAAAUUCUUGGAUUUAUGAAAGACGAACUUCUGCGAAAGCAUUUACCAAAGAUGUUUUCAUUAA